rnacentral:rRNA from 1 species
UACGUAGGGGGCAAACGUUGUUCGGAAUUACUGGGCGUAAAGCGCAUGUAGGCGGCCACGCAAGUCGGGCGUGAAAUCCCACGGCUCAACCGUGGAAGUGCACUCGAAACUGCGUAGCUAGAGUCCUGGAGAGGAAGGUGGAAUGCUUGGUGUAGAGGUGAAGUUCGUAGAUAUCAAGCGGAACACCGGUGGCGAAGGCGGCCUUCUGGACAGUGACUGACGCUGAGAUGCGAAAGCGUGGGGAGCAAACAGG